UGGGGAAUAUUGGACAAUGGGGGCAACCCUGAUCCAGCCAUGCCGCGUGUGUGAAGAAGGCCUUUUGGUUGUAAAGCACUUUAAGCAGUGAAGAAGACUCCAUGGUUAAUACCCAUGGACGAUGACAUUAGCCGCAGAAUAAGCACCGGCUAACUCUGUGCCAGCAGCCGCGGUAAUACAGAGGGUGCAAGCGUUAAUCGGAAUUACUGGGCGUAAAGCGAGCGUAGGUGGCUUGAUAAGUCAGAUGUGAAAGCCCCGGGCUUAACCUGGGAACGGCAUCUGAUACUGUUAGGCUAGAGUAGGUGAGAGGAAGGUAGAAUUCCAGGUGUAGCGGUGAAAUGCGUAGAGAUCUGGAGGAAUACCGAUGGCGAAGGCAGCCUUCUGGCAUCAUACUGACACUGAGGUUCGAAAGCGUGGGUAGCAAACA
rnacentral:rRNA from 1 species